GGSSSGAGCAAGCGUUGUUCGGAUUUACUGGGCGUAAAGGGCGCGUAGGCGGCCACCGCAAGUCGACUGUGAAAUCUCCGGGCUUAACCCGGAAAGGUCAGCCGAUACUGCGGGGCUAGAGUGCAGAAGGGGCAACUGGAAUUCUCGGUGUAGCGGUGAAAUGCGUAGAUAUCGAGAGGAACGCCUGCGGCGAAGGCGGGUUGCUGGGCUGACACUGACGCUGAUGUGCGAAAGCUAGGGGAGCGAACGGGAUUAGAUACCCCGGUAGUCCUAGCCUUAAACGAUGAAUGCUUGGUGUCUGGGGUUUUAUAGUCCCCGGGUGCCGUCGCUAACGCUUUAAKCAUUCCGCCUGGGGAGUACGGUCGCWAGACWG
rnacentral:rRNA from 1 species